rnacentral:lncRNA from 1 species
GCGUAUUUAUGUUUUGGAAUGCAGUAUAGAACAAUACAUCAACAGAAUUUUUAUUAUCAAUUAAUAUUUUUUUUAUAUCAUAUUUUGCUAUUGUCAUAGAGACGACAACAGCAUCAUUAUGAGGAGUUUGGACUUCUUGAACAUCAACAUCGAAAAAUGAAAUGAUAUUGCCAAUAUAUUGCCGCUUUAGGGAAGGACUCUUGCCUACCUCCCUAUCUUCAUCGGGACCUGAGAUCAUAUUAAUGACCCCAAUAGUAGGCCGAUUGAGUUCAGCAUCAUC